rnacentral:rRNA from 1 species
AUUGAACGCUGGCGGCAGGCCUAACACAUGCAAGUCGAGCGGAGCGACGGGCGGACGGGUGAUGCCUAGGAAUCUGCCUGGUAGUGGGUGAUGACGUCCGGCAACGGGCGCUAAUACCUCAUGCUAUCAGAUGAGCCUAGGUCGUAUUAGCUAGUUGGUGGGGUAAAGGCCUACCAAGGCGACGAUCCGUAACUGGUCUGAGAGGAUGAUCAGUCACACUGGAACUGAGACACGGUCCAGACUCCUACGGGAGGCAGCAGUGGGGAAUAUUGGACAAUGGGCGAAAGCCUGAUCCAGCCAUGCCGCGUGUGUGAAGAAGGCCUUCGGAUUGUAAAGCACUUUAAGCUGGGAGGCGUUACCCACAGAAUAAGCACCGGCUAACUCCGUGCCAGCCGCCGCGGUAAUUC